CAGUUUUCAGUUUCUUCAUAAUCAAAAUCAUGGGUUCCUGCAGAAAUUGCCACAAUUUUCACAACUGUCUCCACUGGAUGUGCACUGAGUACAACAACAGAACAAUAAAAGGGAGGACCCAGUUCUGCCUGAAGGGAUAGAGAGCCAUCCAGGAAGACUUCGCAGAGAAGCUGAUGCUUGAAGCAAGACAUUGAGGGAAAGAAGAAUGUUGAACAGGAAAAGGGAGGGAAGACCUUUCAAAAUCAGGAAACAGGGUCAUCUGAUGAUGAUAGUCUCAAAAGGAAUCAUCUGUGAACACCUAGGGAGACUCUUCGGCUUUCCCCUAUUUUUAAUGAAACCAUAAGGAGAUUGCAUUGCCUUAUUCCUGGUGA